rnacentral:rRNA from 1 species
UGGAAAGAUUGGCCAUAGAAGGUGAUAGCCCUGUAUUUAAAAGGGCCACUCCAGUGAAGACGAGUAGGGCGGGGCACGUGAAACCCUGUCUGAAUAUGGGGGGGCCAUCCUCCAAGGCUAAAUACUCCUGACCGACCGAUAGUGAACCAGUACCGUGAGGGAAAGGCGAAAAGAACCCCGGAGAGGGGAGUGAAAUAGAUCCUGAAACCGUGUGCGUACAAGCAGU